CAAUAAACAGGGGAUGGAGUCCCCCUUCAAGCGCUCUUUCCAGGGCUGAUGGCUCCUACCGCGGG
rnacentral:ncRNA from 2 species